UGCGUAGGCGGCGCGGAAAGUCAGGGGUGAAAUCCCGGAGCUCAACUCCGGAACUGCCUUUGAUACUCCCGCGCUUGAGAACUGGAGGGGACAUCGGAAUUCACGGUGGAGCAGUGAAAUGCGUGGAUAUCGUGAGGAACACUAGUGGCGAAGGCGGAUGUCUGGACAGUAUCUGACGCUGAGGCACGAAGGCCAGGGGAGCGAACG
rnacentral:rRNA from 1 species